UAAAAAGUUCAAUUUCCUUUUCACUACGCCUGGUCAAGACUCUAGAUAAUUACCUUAUCCAGUUUGCCGGGUUUGAUACUACUACCUUGCCCUGCAAGAAACAUCAUAUGGAUUUAAGGCAAACCAAACUUAGUAAAGACAAAUUGUAAUCUUUAGGUUUUACCUGGAUAAUCAUAUAGAAGGACCAACAACAUUAGCCCUCCUCUAAGAAUAUCUUCAUCAUGUCUGUGAAUCUUAUUGGAGUGCAACAAGUUGGUCCAGGGCAACAAAAUCAAAUUGCCACUCAAAAACGAUAUCAUCAUUGCUCUCUAAAAAUUUGAAAAAAGAGUUUUAUCUAUUGUGUUUUACAUGUUAGUAUAAAUUAAUUCGGUCGUACAUUGGACCCUUCUUUUGUGCCAUCCACCCAACGAUAUAAACAGUUGUUGCAGAGAAAUAUCCAUGUACAAUGGAGAAUGAGUUUCAAUACAAAUUGUAUGACUGAGCCAAAACACUUCUUGAUUCAAUUCAACUUACCUCAUAAAAAGACGCUAGCAGUGUUACAUCACGAUAAUUUUUCCAGGCUUUAUGGUCAUUUCUCUCCCAUAUUAGUGCAGUGAUCGUUGAUCCAGUCGCCCUGAUGCACUACUUAUAUGGAUAAAAAGCCAAGCCAAACUAAGUAAAAUUAUUAAAGAAACAUUAUGAUCUACAAGUUUUUUACCAGAAGAAUAGCAUAGAAGCUCCAACUCAAGCAGCUGGACACAAGCACUAGCCCUCCUCUUAGGAUGUCUUCAUCAUGCUUGUGAAUCUUCUUGGCGUGCAGUGACCUGGUCUACGGCAACUGAAUCACUUGGUAGUCAUUUGAGGUCUUGUAUUCCUAUAGUUUUGAAGUUAUUACGAGCGCAAGAAACAAAACAAAAUAAAAAAAAAACAUAGAAACAAACAAUAAGGUAUGGUAGUCGUACCUUUCAAAUACAAGAGAAAGGGAUGAUAGUAUUGUAGCUGCGAUAACUAGACGCUCAGCAAACAAGAUUCUCGGAGAAAUCUCCGUUAUCUAGAACAUAUUUUGCAAUGAUUGACAUUAUCGAUAAGCCAAUCUGAACUGAAACAACGGUAACUACCAAUAGGACGUUAUCCAUGGCGUCUUCUUAAAAAAAAAGUUAUAACAAACAUGAGCAAACAAUAAACAAAACAUAAGCAAAAUAUAAGUACAUAUAAUACUU
rnacentral:sRNA from 1 species